rnacentral:lncRNA from 1 species
GGUCACUGGCCCCUCGCGGCUCGCGGCGCGACUUGCAGCUCUCGCUCCUAGAGCUCAAAUUAGCCGCGCGCGCGUUAAUUAGCACCCGAGUCCACCGAGGCGCGCUCGUCGGUACAGUACCGCAGCAGGGCUUAUAUAGACCACUCAAACCCAGCCAAGGCAAGCGUCCCCAAACCCAACACUUCCAGCUUGUCCAAAAUGGGAGACGGGAGCCCGAGUGCCCGGGGCAAGGACACAAUGAUUUUGCCCAGAAUCACGUCAUGUUUUCAAGUCACCUUUCACAUCUAAUGGUAUGGGGCUGGCAAGACCUCAUCGCCGAACCAGGUACAGCUGGGGGCUGUGGUCCGGUCCGGUCCCUCCACACGGCUCCACACGUCUGGGCGCAGCUUAUUCAUUGUUGGGGCAUUUGUGGCUAGUUGGUGUCUAAUCCAAGCCUUCCGGGAGCAUUUCACUAGAAAAGAAAAGAAAAUCUCCCAGGUUGGAGAUGAUUUAAAAGCUGGAAAGAAAAUGAAAGAAAGAAGAAAAAGAGAAAAGAAGAGAAAGAAAUGCAAUUUAUGAAGUUUUCUGUGUCAAAUAUAAAGAAAAGUUUUUGCAAACUGCUGAGGCCUACUUAAACAUGGCCCCAAGUUCUUUUGUCCUCCUCUACCUAUCAGAUAAUCGAUUACUUUCUUUUAUAGGAUUUGUUCUGCAUUUCAGAGCUGAACUUUACCAAGCUCCCCCUCCCUCCUCCAUAGAGCCCAAUCCGGGGACCUCAUUAGAAUGGAACACUGGCCAAUAACUGCAAAGAAAGAGGUGCAAAUUCUCUUUUAGUGUUCAAUAAGCAGGGCAAUGUAAUUAUUAUGCAAUGGUUAAGUAGUGAAAAGGGGGGAGGUUCUAGCUCCAGCACACUGGAGUGGUACGUGGUGAUAUAGUGCUAGAGUCUGAAGGCAGCCCGAAUACAGAUCCCCCAUUUCUAAACCUGUGGUUGAUCCACUGGACAGAACUCAGCUCCUCCUCCUCGGAAACCCAGCCUCAGACAGUGUGGACACAGGAGAGUGGGGUACGCCUGGUGCCCGGGGUUUGCUCCUGGCCCAGGAACCCACCAGUGCAGGCUGGGCUGGGGUCUUCUUCCUACUUCCUCUCCUUUCAUUGCUCUUCCAAAGACUCUUGAGAAACCCACUGGCAUUUGUAUAACAUGGCCCUCAUUUGAUGUACUUCCUAACCAGCUCCUUCUGCUGAAGGGGAAUAUCUUUAUUUGCCUUCAAUUAACCUAGUUUUCCAAGAACAACUUUGCUUGUUCCAUUUUCCUUCAAAACUAUGGUGAGCAAAAGCUAGCACCGUUUUCUCAGCCUCAGUUUGGAAUAAGAUUUAGCAAGUCCGUGGAUCCUGAAACGUGCCAAAUGUUCAGCACUGUAAUGUUCAGGGAUUCUUUAUGCCCCCGGAUAGGCUUAUAACCGCACAGCAAUAAUAAUCCUUUAACCAGGUGUACAGAGUCGUGGUUCACCAGAUCGUCUUGUGGUCUCCCUGGAGUGGAAGAAAGGAGAGAGUUUCUAUGACAUCAUUGCUAUUAUUUAAACUGAACUGCUAUGGGAGAAUAUUAUUGUUAAUAAAAGCCUUCUGCUCCACGCCCCUCUUACCUCCCCCUGGCAUUUCAUGACGCGCCUUUCACGAUGAAAGCCACAGAAUGAUGCCCAGCCUAGUGGCCUCCAGUGUGACCACCACCUUGUCGCAGGUACAAGUCAGGGAGGAAACGCAGAGGAAAACGAAUACGGAGAGGGAGAGUUGUUUGAGAAAAAAGUACGUUAGCAAGCUUAGCUGUCGAUGUGCUUUUUCUUUUUAUGAAGGUGUGUGUGUGCACGUAGUGUUUUACAAACGGGCCGUGUGCACCCCGAGUAGGACCCCCAUAUUUGUACACUGCGAGCUGUCGUGGAGUCGUGCCUUGGGGCUGGUCUAAUGCAGUUAACAGAACUAAAGGGUUCUCUGUGUCGAAAAGCAUGCACCUCUUUUAAUCCCAUCACGUACUGAAGCAAUUUUGGGACUGAGGGUUCUACCUUUAUCCAGCGUGGAUGUUCUUGUUCAAGAAAACCAUGCCAACUACUUGGAGUUCCUGACCGUUGCUAACAUCUUCCCCUCUUUUCUCUGCUGUUGCUGCUUUCAAAUUUAUUGUAAAGCCUGUUUUCGUCUCACUUAACCCAAACAAUCCUCGCUCCAUAGAAACCCAACUGAAAUGACCAGGUGAGCUCUGGCCUGUGUCUUUACUUCAAAGAUGCAUCAUCUCACAUUCAGGGUGAGAUAGAAUUGGUGAUGUUCCAAGCUUCAGGAGAGCGAAGCUACUUUUUCCUGCCGGAUUUUACCUUCGUUCUGGCCUGGAGCGUGCGCGCUGUGCGCGGAUCCACACGCGCGCGUGCCCAAUCACACACACACACGCACACACACACGCACACACACACACAGCACAGACAAGCCGAGCCGAGGGGAUGCUCCCUUACGGACUCAGGCUGCACCCGGGCGUCGGGGAAGCCGUCGCCGGAGCCAGGGCUGUGGCUAAGGUGGGCGUCCUCGCCCGCGCGGCUUCGGAGAGGCAGGAGAGAGGACCGCCCGCCGGGCUCCCGCCGGGAAACCAAAGUUCGGGGAGCUCCGAGCCCCAGACGGCCCCGGGUCGGGGCGCUGCCCUCGCUCUCGGAGCUCGCGCGUGGAACGGCCGCAGCGCGGGCUUUUGUAGCGCCCCGCCCGAGCUGACGCACCGCUCCCCCGGGACGCUGGGGGCGUCGCGCUGCCGCGGGUGGGGAGCGAGAGGCUCGGGCCGUCCUGUCCCAGCCCGUCCGCGGCCACGCCACCCCGCCCUCCCCCGCGUCGCCUCCGCCUCCUCUCCUGCCGCGCGCUCCCCGCCGAUUCUCCACCUCCUCGGCGUCCCCGGUCCCCGCUCUCCCGCUCUCCGCCCUCCGCCCUCCUGGCGCCUCCCCUCUCUCUCUCUCCUCUGAAUAAGCAAGCUUUCGCCUCUAAAAGUCACAAGUAAUGUGAGACAGAGAGGGAGAGGGAAGGGGGGGAGAGGGAGGGGGAGAGAGAGAGGGAGAGAGAGGGAGAGAGAGGGAGAGAGAGAGAGAGACAGAGAGAGAGAGAUUGCCGAGGAUCGGAAGACGGGAGGCAAAUCUGGCACAACCCCUGGGGAAGAAACUCGACGCUCCGCCACCACUGAGACGCCUAAAGGAUCCUGUGUGUGCUGCCGCCGCUCUGGGACUGGAUCUUGUCUCUUCUGGUUGGAGCGCCUCGAUUCCUGGCCUGCUGGAUUUGGGGGGCUGCACUGCCUGGCGCUGGGAGAUCAAAUGAGACUGCACAGAAGCAUAAAAUGAAUAGACUGUCCAUCCAACCAAAGACCGGGGGCAGCAGCACACCAGCAAGACGGCAUCUGUCUUCCCCAGCCUAGAAGCCCUGUGAAAUCGAGGAUCUUCCCCCUAAAACACUCACAUACAAGAUAUGUGCAAUCAAGCUGCCACCGCUUGGUAAAAAAGCUCGUGCUGCCUAACCCAAAAGGAUCAGGAGCCGAUCCUUGAAUCCGCGGUCACUUCUAUAGAACGGGAUUUCCCCCCCCCCCCUUCCUCCUUAACCUGCGCUGGAAAUUGCCGUUGGCUUUUUACAUCUCUAUAGAGGAAGGCUAAAGAGUCGUGCGUGAGAACGAAGCAAUUUACAAUGCAAAUAGAGGCCUCAGAAGGGAUGGCUGCUGCUGCUCACUCCUAACAGCUUGCUGCACCUUAAUAGCUGGUUUUAUUUUCUGAUAUUAAUAGAUGAAUUGUUGGCUAACACUGCCGGAGAUUACUUGCUGAAAGGGGGAAAAAGUUCGGAAUAAACUCUGAAGGCCACAGAUCUCAUUUGGAUGUUUUAGCCCCACAUAUACAAACAGAAACCAGGUCAUAUUUACAUAAAAGGAGGAAUCUGAAGAAGGGCAAGUGUCCUGGAUAACUGACUACUCACGGUGGCAGCUCCGGAGUCUGGUAGGAGGAAGACAGAGGUGCAUGAGGGAAGCGAGUUGUUAUCUUUGGUUAUCUAGCUGUAUGAGUGUAUUGGUCUUCAUAAAGCUAGAUAACCGAAAGUAAAAACUCCUUCAAGGUCGCCGGGCAGCGUGAGAAUGAAAGACUACAACCAAGAGACAGUAAAAACCGGAAAGGUCAGGAAUACUUAUUGAAUCUAACUUUGUUUUUGUUUUUUGUUUUGUUUUUUGCUUUUUCCUUAUAAGAGUAAAGGUGGGAUACAAGGAAAUUAAGCGACACAAGAUGCUGAAAUUGAAAAGUGCCAGGGUUUGGGGGAGGGUUGUUAGGGCUGUAAAGAAUUGUAUAGUGCUCAGGGUAAAGAUGCAUGUACAAUGUGUUCUGUUUUAAGGCCAAAGUUUAUAUACGAGGGAUUUUUUUCUUCUUCUUAGCUGUUGUAGAGAUUUCUGACAACUGGUUUAAAAAUGAUUCCAUGAUUAUGUAGGCUUGGGCAGUUCCCCUCCGAGGCCCCUCCCCCCCAAUUUGAAGAUUGUGCUUGGAAACUACUUUAAAUGUAUUUGGGCUAAAUGUCAAAUGCUAUGAAAUUAGACUUUCAGAAAAGUUUAUCCUGGAAAGUUAAUAAUUUAUAACUAUUGAGGACUCAGCAGUAGCAGGGAAAAUGAAAAAAAAAAAAAAAAAGCAAAGGCUGAUUUUGAUUCUUCUAUUCAAAAUACAAGGACAGAUGCUUCUCUGUUCCAAGAGGGUUUCCUUGAGGAAGCUACUGAAGCAGAAAGACAUGAUGGAGACGAGAUCGCCUCCUCUCUUGUCAAAGUGUUAAAAAAAUGUUCUGUCUUACUCUGCGCCUAGCAUUGGAAAUGAAAGUGACAUUUACGCCAGAACCCACGUGGGCGCCUCCUCUCUUUUUGUUUAAGGAUGAUCAGGUCUAUCCAGGAAACAGCUCUGGCAUCCCAAACUGAAAUAAUUAGGACGUAUAUAGACCUGACAAAAAUGGAAAGGGGGUGGGGAAUCGCAGGGUCUGUCUUGCCUAAUUGAUUCCGCUAAACGGAACGAGGAGAUGUGAACGGCGGGACGCUCCGAUUCCCACGCUCGGGGGCAGGGGGUAAGGCGGCCGGCAGCCUAUGACAGACAGCCCUGUUGGAGGGUAGGGUAUGAAAAAAACAUCCAGUGCACACACCAUACUCAACUCCACCGCUUAAGAAGGUAAAGGCAUUUCCCACCCACAGACAUCUGCAGGCUCCCAAAUGGCAGCGCCAACUGGUCUGCUUGCUGCUCGCUGGUUUUUUUGUUUUUUUGUGUUUUUUUUGAACCGCUGUUUAAUCUGCUGGCCAGGAUAAAGUUUGGCUUCUGAAGUUUGGUUGAGAUUUUUCAAUAUGUAAGGAGACCUGGUAGAAAAUGAUUCCAAGAAAGUCCCAUCAUGCCCGCCCUGGGAGACAUCCUUGGUCUGGCCGGGGGCCUGGUGAACACCCUUUCUUUCGAGUUUUUGUUUUGGCUGGGGUAUACUUUCCAGUACACAGCUCGGUGCCACAGUCUCAGUUAUGACUUCAUCAGCUUGUUUACCUCUUAAUGUGACACGCAGAGGAGCGAGGCGCCCGGAAGCUAAUUGAUGCCUACUAGAAGUGAAACUGUAAAGUCAUCAGCCCAGAGAGAGUGGAUUACAGUAGCAGGGUGAGAAAAGCUCGUUUUGGAGUAGUCCCAGCUGGAUGCACUCUAAACGGCCAUUUUUGUUUAAUUUGAAAAUAACUACGCCUGGCAUACACUUUGGGGUUAUGAAGGUCCGCACUGCAACCCCUGAAAGUCUUUACAUUGGGCCACAUCACCAAGCCAACAUUUGUAUGGGCAUUGACACAUAAAUACAACCACUGCGAUGAGAAAAUGACUGGAACAGCCUACGACCAUCCACAGGGCCUAGAUUACUGACACUCCCAACUAGCCCACCACUCUUCAAAGGCAGUCCAUUUCCCUUUGUAGCUUCUACUCCUGGUAAGACUUCAGACUGGAAAAGCCAGUAAAACCACUGUUAAUUUCACUUAGAAGCUCAGAGAGACUUUAAUAAGGUAAAUUCUCUGUUUGGCUGCUGAACACGCGCCAAAGUUUUACUACCCUGGUGACCAUUGUGAAGACCCUUGUUUAUUUACAUUUGAAGCACUGUUUGUGCAAACAACCUUUCCUUGUUAAGUGCCUGUAUUUCUUUCAUUUACUUCGUGUCCAGGGGUGCUAUUUACCUAGAAGCAUUGUCUACUACAAUUACAUUUACAUUACAAAGUGUGUGGUUUUUCUUUCUCAAGGAGGUUCAAUUAAGGCAAUAAGAUGUUUGCUGGGGAAACCUAUUGUUUACUGAAAGCACUCAAUGGAGUCAAAUUACUGAAGCUUUUUGCCUACAUCUUGGUCUUUUCUGUAAAUAUGUGAAAUAUAACAUCUAAGGAAAAUAAACAAUAUUAUAAUUACGUGUUUGCCAUUGUCAUAUCAACCUUGCUUUGUAUCAUACUAAUGUUGCAUAACUUAUCAAUCAAUAAAAAUACAUUUCAAUGUUCUUUUCAUUUUAUUUUUUGCUCUUGCUGCAACAUGUCCCAGUUUUUUCUUUUUUUCUCUUUUUGAUUACACAUCAAAUUUCUGACAUUUUAUUUUAUUUGUGUGUGUUGAAGAGAGUACCGCAUCUGAGCUUGGGGGUUGGGGGGGUGCUGAGAUAAUCUCUACAAUGACCUUAUAAUAAGGUGAUAUUUCUUUGAAAUCUGAAAUAUUCCAAAGGCAUGUACCUUUAAGUCAAAAGAAGUGUAAAUAUCAGUUAAGUAGUUCUUUGAAAGCUAGUUUUUAACAUUGGCAGGAACCGGAUCAAGUUUAUUUAGCAUACCACUGCAUUGUAAAGCAGUUGGAGUGAAGUUGCAGGUUGCGUGAGUAGGCAUGUUAACUAGUGGGAACGGAGCGCAGUCUUUGUGAAGGGAGCAGCAGAUUGCCGUGCAAGGCCAAUGUUAAAAAGGCAGCUGAAUUUAACACCAUCUGGAAGAAAAGAUCCCUUCACGACUUUCUCACACCGUCAGACAAAACUAGUGUCUCUUGUUCCUAGCCCUUGUCUAUGCAACCAUACAAUACUGAGUCAUUAUACUUUUGCUGAGAGAAAAUUUGAGAACACAAUAUGGGUAACCAGUGAAUGACCAAGUUUCAUUGUGCCCGCUUAAGUCGAUUGAAAUCUACGUCUAGAGCUAUGAAUGGUAGUAUUGUUUUCCUCACCAGGGCUGUACUAAAUGUCAGCACAGUGUAAAGAAAAACUUGAAGUCUGCAAAUAACUUACCAGAUCUCAAUUAUAAUAUUUUCCCACACUAGAACUAAUAUCAUUGCGAGGGGGCUACAUUGCCGAAAAUACAACAACAACAAAAAGCAACAAAAAGAAAUAAGGGAGUUCAUUAGAAGUUAUUUUAUCCAGACAAGCAUUUUAAUUUUCUGAUGGGAACGUCAAUGCAGGCUGCAGGCUGCAGGCUCAGUGGAGGACUGGGAUUCAUUACUUGGAAGUUCAAGUUACAAAAAAUGCACCUUGUGCAAUUAAAAUAGAAUAAAACAAACACCUACUUCUACCUGAAACCGUCUCUUAUUAAAUAUCUACGGUCUCCACUUGAGUUUUAUCGCUGAAGUUCUGCUUAGAGUUGUUGGUAGGGAUCUAGCUUAAAUUUGCUUUCAAUUUGGGCACACUGCUCUCUCAAAGUUUGGCACUGUGAUUGAUCGACAUUGGAAAAGAACACCAUAGGCGUACGUUUCCAAAAAUACACAAGAGCCUUCUGGCACCUCCCUGGGUAGAUUCUAGUGCCCUGAGAAAUAUGCUUCCCCUUUUAUGUUCCACCCCUCCAUUUCCUUUCUUUUCCCUCUCAUCAUGUGUAUAAAUCAGUUAUCUUUAGGGUUAACAUUCUAUUUGACUGUAAACAGUCAGAAAAAGGAAACAAAACAGUUCAAGAAGAGGAAAAGGAGUUGGUUGUGUAUGUUUUAUUAGGAUGUCUAUUUUAAAUAUAAUUGACUUUGCAAUUUUGUUAUCGUGUCACCAAGUGUCGCAUAGUUCUUAACAUGUAAGUGCAAAACAAUGAGUAAUUGCUGUUUUGCUGAAUAAUACAUUUGAGUUGCCAACGUCAAAGGUAUUAUUUUGUGUAUUUCUAAACUGGAACGUUAACUGCAGGUUUUGACAUCUAGAAUCUUUUCUUGAAGUACUCAUAAAAAGGAUGAUAAAAAUGAUACACUUAAAAGUAAACAUAAAGCUUUAACCAACUUAUUUUCCUUGUCCUACUUUGUGAUACUAGAAAAUUAAUAGUGAAAAGUCACAAUAAUCAAAUUUUAAGGAAUACACCUUAAGCACAGAAAAAAUUCAAAAGAAAAAAAAAGUAAUUGGAGAGGUUAAAAAAAUACACAAGAAGACUUCUGCAACAUCUUUGCAGAAUGUGAAUGGGCAUAUUUACCAGACUGUCCCCUGCUCGUUACCCCUAAUAUGCAUAAUAAUGAGAUAAAUGCAUUAUUUAUAUUCAAAAUGGAAUAUUUUCCAAAGUGGCUUUUCUUUAAGUCUUCUUAAACACUAAAAUUUGUGCUAUUGGUGCUCUCUGUGUCUAUUUUAAAAUUAAAAUGAUUUUAUUUGGAAAGAUAUGAAAUUCGAAUCUGAUUUUGUGUAGUUUUAUGAAAAUUAAGCAACCAUUUAAAUAGUAAGAGAUAAGGAUGAGUGAAUUUCAAGUUCAGAAACACUCUUCCAAUUCACAGACUAUACGUAAACACUUGAAGAUAUUUUAAGAAUUUGGGCUUUUUAAAAAUGGAGAAAUGAACCCAAAGGAUUGAUUUUCCACUGUGGCUAGAAUAUGCAUGAAAGUGCAUGUAACUAUCUAGGUUUUAUCCCCAGUAGUUCUCUACCCCUCUGGAACUAUCACUGUGGCUUAAGAUACCCUUGUCCCACUUUCCCUUUCUGUGACUUACCUUUAACCUCCCUUUGCUAGAGUAAGUACAGUACCGCAUCAUCUCUCGCAUUGGGGCGGAUGCUGAGGGUGGUGGUGAGCUCAGCGACUAGGACAAGGUGUCCCUUUAGAUUAAGAACUAAUUGGAAUCAAAGUUCCUGAGUAAAAGCUAUCUGUAGUACGGGUCAAUCGUUCUACCAUUGUGCUUGCAGACAGUAGUGGGCAUGUCAGGCAGUUUUUCAGUGUCUCUGGGUUUUAAUGGAUGGCUUUGUUACCCAGUUUUUUCUGUUCUGGGUUGCUUAGCACAAGUCACAGAAGCUGGUACAGGAGCGAGCAGAAACCCCCGCUCCCGUUUGCUUCCGGAGCCCAUCUCCCCGCGGGCUCGCUCGGCUUUGGCGGAACUGAUUCUGGGCGCCGAGUGGCGGUGGGGUGCCGAGGCGGGCGGGCGCGGGCCCCCGGGAGGUAGGGCCUGCGCUUUCCGCUCUGCACCCCGCGGCCGGGCCACGGGGGGCAGAGCUUUUAAAAACUGCCGGGAGGAUCGACUCGAUUCCGGGAAACAAGGGGUGUGAGCCAUAUUUAUUCCGGGAGAAGUCCGUCCCCGUGCUCGGCGGUCUGACUCGGUUUUAGCUCAGCGCCCGCACAACGCGGUCGGGAGAUCUAAAAAUAGCCGGGCGUGGGCGGACCCUGCGCCCGGCUGCGGACGCGCGGGGCC